rnacentral:rRNA from 1 species
AGUGGCGGACGGGUGAGUAACGCGUGGGUAACCUACCUGUAAGCGGGGGAUAACAGUUGGAAACGACUGCUAAUACCGCAUAAGUUUCCUUAUUAAGUUGAGGAAGUAAAGAUGGCCUCUUAACAAUGCUGUCACUUACAGAUGGGCCCGCGUCUGAUUAGCUAGUUGGUGGGGUAAAGGCCUACCAAGGCGACGAUCAGUAGCCGGCCUGAGAGGGUGGACGGCCACACUGGGACUGAGACACGGCCCAGACUCCUACGGGAGGCAGCAGUGGGGAAUAUUGCGCAAUGGGGGAAACCCUGACGCAGCGACGCCGCGUGAGCGAAGAAGGCCUUAGGGUCGUAAAGCUCUGUUUUAAGGGACGAAGUCUCUCUUGGGUAAUAUACGAGAGAGGUGACGGUACCUUAAGAGAAAGCCCCGGCUAACUACGUGCCAGCAGCCGCGGUAAGACGUAGGGGGCGAGCGUUGUCCGGAAUUACUGGGCGUAAAGAGCACGUAGGCGGAUAUUUAAGUCAGGUGUGAAAGACCGCAGCCUAACUGCGGGGUUGCACUUGAAACUGGAUAUCUUGAGGGCAGGAGAGGUCAGUAGAAUUCCUGGUGUAGCGGUGAAAUGCGUAGAAAUCACGAGGAAUACCAGUGGCGAAGCGGCUGACUGGACUGGCCCUGACGCUGAGGUGCGAAAGCGUGGG